rnacentral:rRNA from 1 species
UUAUCAAAAACAUUGCUUCUUGCAUGCUCUGAUAAGAAGUAAUUCCUGCCCAGUGAAUAAAUUUCAACGGCCGCGGUAUCCUAACCGUGCAAAGGUAGCAUAAUCACUUGCCCAUUAAUUGUGGGCUAGAAUGAAAGGACUAACGAAAUAAAAACUGUCUCUAUAAGUGACAUAAAAAUUAAUCUCUAACUGAAGAUUGUUAGAUAUCAUCGAAGGACAAGAAGACCCUAUAGAGCUUUAUUUUAAUAAAUAACUAUAAUUUAUAUAAAUUCGGUUGGGGCGACCAGGGAAAUUAAAUAUCAUCCCUUAAUAGCAGAUAACUCAAUCACACACUUGACCCUUUACCAAAGAUCAUCAAAACAAGCUACCUUAGGGAUAACAGGCUAAUCCCACUAAAGAGUCCUUAUCAAUAGUGGGGUUUGGCACCUCGAUGUUGGCUUAGGGAAUCUAUAUGGCGCAAAAGUCACAUAAAGAUGGUUUGUU